rnacentral:rRNA from 1 species
GAUAAACGCUGGCGGCGUGCUUAACACAUUCAAGUCGAACGGAGUAUGUUUGGAAGCUUGCUUUUGGACAUACUUAGUGGCGGACUGGUGAGUAACGCGUGAGGAACCUGCCUUUCAGAGGGGGGACAACAGUUGGAAACGACUGCUAAUACCGCAUGACACAUCGAUGGGGCAUCCCAUUGAUGUCAAAGAUUUAUCGCUGAAAGAUGGCCUCGCGUCUGAUUAGCUAGUUGGUGAGGUAACGGCCCACCAAGGCGACGAUCAGUAGCCGGACUGAGAGGUUGAACGGCCACAUUGGGACUGAGAUACGGCCCAGACUCCUACGGGAGGCAGCAGUGGGGAAUAUUGGGCAAUGGGCGCAAGCCUGACCCAGCAACGCCGCGUGAAGGAAGGAGGCUUUCGGGUUGUAAACUUCUUUUGUCAGGGACGAGCAGAAGACGGUACCUGACGAAUAAGCCACGGCUAACUACGUG